CUGAUAUCAAAAACAUUGCUGAUCAACUUUGCAGGUAUAUAGAUUUACAAUUUAAAGUUCACAUAUGGUCAGUUUUGGUCGAUGCAGUCAAAUACUUUUGUUGUAAAGUCAGCAUGGAGGUAUCAAAACUACUGAAAUUUCAAUAUUUUGAGUAAAAGGAGGACAUGCUGGUAUCUUAAAUUUAUGCGAACAAAACUUUGUUUUUAUUAUAUUGCAAUAUUG
rnacentral:lncRNA from 1 species